CAGUCGCCGCGGGAAUACGAAGGGGGCUAGCGUUGUUCGGAUUUACUGGGCGUAAAGGGCGCGUAGGCGGACUGAUAAGUCAGGGGUGAAAUCCCAAGGCUCAACCUUGGAACUGCCUUUGAUACUGUUUGUCUUGAGUUCGAGAGAGGUAGGUGGAACUGCGAGUGUAGAGGUGAAAUUCGUAGAUAUUCGCAAGAACACCAGUGGCGAAGGCGGCUUACUGGCUCGAAACUGACGCUGAGGCGCGAAAGCGUGGGGAGCAAACAGGAUUAGAUACCCCUGUAGUCCCUGUCUCUUAUAC
rnacentral:rRNA from 1 species